CCUACGGGCGGCAGCAGUGGGGAAUAUUGGGCAAUGGGCGCAAGCCUGACCCAGCAACGCCGCGUGAAGGAAGAAGGCUUUCGGGUUGUAAACUUCUUUUGUCAGGGAAGAGUAGAAGACGGUACCUGACGAAUAAGCCACGGCUAACUACGUGCCAGCAGCCGCGGUAAUACGUAGGUGGCCAGCGUUGUCCGGAUUUAAUGGGUGUAAAGGGCGUGUAGCCGGGUUGACAAGUCAGGUGUGAAAUCCUGCGGCUUAACCAAAGAACUGCAUGUGAAACUGUUGAUCUUGAGUACUGGAGAGGCAGAUGGAAUGCCUAGUGUAGCGGUGAAAUGCGUAGAUAUUAGGAGGAACACCAGUGGCGAAGGCGGUCUGCUGGACAGCAACUGACGGUGAGGCGCGAAAGCGUGGGGAGCAAACAGGAUUAGAUACCCCUGUAGUC
rnacentral:rRNA from 1 species